GGCUCCCCCUGCCGAGGUGAGCGAGCCGCGCGGCGGGGCCGGGGCGGCGAGGGUGGUUCCGGCCGGGGCGGGCCGGUUCCCGCUGGAGAGGAGGGACCCCGUGCCGGGUUCGGCCCGGAGCGGCUGUCGAGCGGGGUCCGCGGGUCGAGCGUGGCGGCUUAAGGCGCGGGGCUUCCCCCUCCCCGCGCCCUCCGCCCGCCCCCGAGUCUCCCGAGGGCGAAGCAAGCGGCGGAUCGGGCGGCCCUUCUUCCCGAAGGGGGGCCGGAGUCCGAUCCGACGGCCGGGGUGGCAGGAGUGCCCCUUGCCGGGGACGCGUCAGCUGCAGCCCGGCCCAUUGGGGGGGUGGGGGUGGCGAGGGCGGCCAAGGACUCCGGCAGCGCCUGGGUGGAGGAGCAGGUGCCGGUCGGAGCCUCUGCCCGGUGCCCUCGGGUGGGCCCUCGGACCGUCUCCGCCCCCCCCCCGGCGCAGCCGUUCUCUCCUCCUCCUGCCCCACCGCAGCUGCUCCCCCGGUGGGGCCGGUUUGGGGUCCGCUCAGUUCCCGCCUUUCUCCCCCUGCCCCUCCCCCACAGCGGAGGCGAGGAGGCCCCUCGGGCUGAAUGAGGGGAUCCUGCCGGACGGAGCCCCCCCCAGGAGACGCCUUCGGUGCAGCCUGAGGAGCUGGUCCGGGCCUUUGUGCGGGUGCCUGUGUGAUUGUGCAGGGCAGAGGCAUAACUUCCCUCAGCUGCACCAAGAUCCCGAGAGAAGAGGCGUAAUGGAGGAGGCAGGAGGGCCGGGAGUCCAGCUAGCCGUGACUCAGCUUCCCUUGCAGGCUGCUUGCGCCGAGAGCCUCGUGCCGAGGCUCCCUUCCUGCCUUGGAGCGGAAUCCUGGCAAGAGGCGCCCAGGCCGCCAAGAACAGCAGGCCCACCCGGCCUCCCAAGAGGUGGGCUGCCUACCUGGUCCUGCCUGGCAAAAAAAGGGGGGUGGGGUGGAGAUAGGAAAGUAGCAGCAGCAACACCAGGUCCACAAGGGAGUGCAGGUACUCCUGGACUUACAACCACAACUGGGAUCGGAACAUCCGUUGCUAAGCAAGGUGGUUGUUAAGUGAACAUAUAACAUAGAAUAACAGAGUUGGAAGGGACCUUGGAGGUCUUCUAGUCCACCCCCUUGCUCAAGGAGGAGACUCUGUACCAUCCCAGUGAAAUGGUUGCCUGCUCUAUUCUUGAAAGCCUCCCAAGAUGGACCAAAUGUCCAUGAAGGUUCUUAGUCAUCCAGGUAAGAGUUGUUUGGAAGUUGAGUCGUGACAACUGGAUUUCUUCUUCUUUUGUUUGAAACAUUUCAGUCAGACUGAAGAAGAGAGUGAACUUUUUUACUCUUCCUGCAGAUCACCUUCCACGUAGGAAGAAGAGAAAGGAGAACAGCUGCAGCCUCACCAACUUGUUGCUAAAUUUCUAUACCAUGGUCUUGAUAUCAUGGAGCGCUGGAGCAAUGCUUCUCAAGGUGAGCAACUUUAAUAUGAGUGGACUUUGACUCCCAGAAUUCCCCAGCCAGCAAUUCGGGUGGGGAAUUCUGGGAGUUGAAAUCUCCUAAAGUUGGUAGGGUUGCAAAACACAGCACUGGAGGGAAGGUAAAGAUCACACUCAUUUGCAUUUCUUCAGCUUCAUUUUUAAAGAGUUUGUGGGGUCCCUGUCUUUGACAGGGAGGGGAGCACCAGCUGAGACCGGUGCUACCUUUGCUCUGGAAAGGUUGUACUCAAGCCUCCUUCCGGCUCCUGCAGCAGCAAGUUGUUGAGUGUUGGUUGCUGGCCGCUUAGAGGAACCAGGUAGGAAAACGCCACCCUCCCACCUCUGUUAAUUUUUACCCCGGCAGUAUGUCAGAGUGCCCAUUGCAUUCAUUUCUUGUCUGAGCAUGCAAGGGCUGGAAGUGCCCAGACAGGGCUGCAAAGUUGCCUUCCAAAGUGAGUCAUAAUUGGCGGCUCCAAGAAAUCACGUUUAGUUUCUGGAGGCCACCUUAGCUCCAAAUAACCGAAAGCAAUUAGGCUGAUCCAGGCAACCAGCAGCGGGGAAAAUCUCUUGAAUUUGCAAUCUUGACCCAGGAUGUAAAUUCCAGGAACUCAGCAGGAGUUACUUCAAGCAAGUCUUCUAUUUUAUUCUGUUUCUUGGGGGUUCUGCUUGAUCGCCUUGUGUUUCCACCAAAAGCAAGAAUCAAAAUAGCUAACAACUAAUAAAUGGUUUUAUGUAUAAAAACAAAACUAUUUUAAAACCACAAUUUAAAAAUAACUAACAGAGCAAGCCUAUUCUUGAUACUCUAUAAUUAAACAUUAUGGAAAGAUAUUCGAGGCUACACCUAUGAGGUGAAUUGGCAGCCAUUUUCUCAAACCAAGGAAAAUGGAGACCAAAUUCAAAGAUCAUUCUUUGGACAAUGGGCCCGAUCCAACAAAAUGCAGUUCACUGAUGAGAAAAGUAAGGCCCAGCACUUAGGCAAGACAACCAAAGAGGCAUAGAAGAGGCCAUACCUGGCUCAACAGUAGUAACUGUGAGAGGGAUCUAGCUGUCCUAGUGGAUAACCACUUAAGUAUGAACCAGCCGUGUGCAGCAGCCGCCAAAAAAGCCAAUGCAGUCCUAGGCUGCAUCAACAGAGAUCCCAUGAUGUAUUAGUACCGCUAUAUACUACACUGGUAAGACCACACUUUGAAUACUGUGUCCAGUUUUGGUCUCCAUGAUGCAGAAAAACAUGUUGAGACCCUGGAAAGUGUGCAGAGAAGAGCAACUAAGAGGUAAGAGGUCUGGAGGCCAAACCAUAGGAUGAGCGAUGGAGAGAGGUUUACUUAGAGAGCACUGUGAAGCAGUAUAUAAAUCUUAAGUGCUGUUGCUAUUUAGCUACAAAGCGUUGCAUGGAAACGACCACAGUGCCUGGGUUCACACAUUGCAGUACACAAUACAAAAAGCAUACAGGUAGUUCUUGACUUAUGAUCAUUCAUUUAGCAACCGUUCAAAGUUACAACGGCACUGCAAAAAGUGGCUUUUGACUGGUCCCUGCAGUGUCCCAAGGUUGCAUAGUCACACUUGGCCAUCUUCCCAGCUAGCUUUGGAGAAACCAGCAGGGAAGGUCACAAACUGUGAUUGUGUGAUGUCUCGCUUAGCAACCAGACUCACUUGCCCAAUGCCUGUGGCAAAAAAAGUUGUAAAAUGGGUCAUGUUGUAAGUCAAGGACUUCCGUAUGACAGCUUUGUGCAUUAUGCAAACCCAUCCACUGUUCUUCCCUUCCACUGUUACUUUCUGAAACUUCUUCCUUCUCUGAAGUAGGUUGCGGGAAAGGGACCACAGACUCUUGCCAGGUGUCUGAACAGAUCUCUGGCCAGAGGGCUCCGAUGCUGCCCUCAGAGCCAAAGUCUGCCUCUGCCCCAGGACCUCAGCCUCAGCUUGUUCCCCCCCCCCCAUCCUGGCUCCUGAAUCAGGGCAGUGCCAGCAUGUUCUCAGUCCCCGGGCACGGGGCCCAGAGGUGGAGGAGGCAUCGAUGUGCUGCAGAUGAAGCGCAAGAGGAGACUUUAGUCCUCCUCCAGAGGCCCACAAACACCUCUCGGAAAUGGCGACAGUCAGGAUUCUGUGGAGAUGGGCCAAGCUGCUCCUUCUCGGACAGCCUGGUGCAGGUUGUCUGCUUUUCUCAGACGGUUUUGCAUCUGUAAACUGCAAGAACCGGUGGGGAGCAAGCAGCUGCCUGGUCCCCAGGGGCCCCCACUGAGCAUGGGAGGAGAACAUCUGCGAGGGACCCUCCCAGGGAGGCCUUCUGACCUGAACCCAGAAUGAACUGCAUGCGCCUUCCACAACCAUAGAUGGCUUUGGAAAUGUGUCUAAAGAAAUCCACUGGGAAAUGGCCAGGAGAGCUUUCACAGAUUUAACAUGUGAAAAAAAAUGGAGGACGAGGAACCCGAAUCGGGACCAGACCAAAUUUUUCUUACUUGCAAGAUGUUACAAAAAUCGUGGCUUCUUCUACAUCGAUCCAUUUUGACAAGCUUUCUUUUUCGAUUUUUGUUUUGUUCCUGAAUCUCUUAUCAUUACCUCCUUACUCAAAAAAAUACAGACUUAUGACCGGUCGCUUAGCAACCAUCCAAAGUGACCCAAAAAGCUACUUAUGACCUUCCAGGGACCUCCCCCAUGGUCACAGGGUCGCGCUUUGGUGCUCAGCAACUGGCCAGCGUUUACGGCCAUUUGAAGUACUGUUUGGGAUGUUUUUGGUUUCCAGAAAAAAGCCCCCCUCCUGAGCCAUGGCUUCGCUUACCUACCAAGGGGUUCACUUAAUGACGGCUAUAUUCUGCCUAAUGUCCACUGCUGAAAAAAGCUCGUAAAACUGAGUGCAGUCACCUGGUGACCCACUUAAUGACCGUCACGAUUGAUGACUGAAAUUGCGGGCUCAGUUUUGGUCGUAAGAUGAGGAAUUCCUGUAACAGAUUUAUCACUUGCUGCAAACUCCCACAGAGUCUUUUGCCUCGUCGCCUCUGAAGAGCCCCUGCGAAAAUCCUUGCAUUUCAAAGUAAAUGUGCCCAGAACUGAAAGGCUGCUGCCUUUUUUACUGAUUUAUAAAAGUCCUGCUGAAAUCAGAAAAAAGCUGCAGAUUUUCAAAGGCUAAAUAGGUGGGAUAAGAGACUCCUGAGGCUGGGAAAUUUCAAACCAAGACCAGCUGACUGUGAUACUUUCUGACAUGCACGUUCCAGCACUAAAGGCCUCCAGGUCAUUCUCCACUCAAAAGGGUCUCUACCAUUUUUUACAUGCCUCAAUUCAAGCCGAGGGAUAAAAUGAGCUGCAUGUUUCUCCUUCUGUAUGACAGCACAAGGUCCAGUGAAUAAAUGCACACAAAGCUU